GUCGAAGUCCCAUGGUUAGGGCUUUCAGCUGGGGAGGGGUAUCUUUGUGCCAAGCUAGACUGUGUUUAAUCCUUUUAAUCACAAGAGACAAAAAUCCUCAGACACGAGAAGGCAUGUAUCACCUGAAAUUGCCUGAGAGGCUCAACCAACUUUUAGUCACAAGAUCUGCGAACACUUCCCUAGUGGGUGCUGAGGUUCUCCAAGGAGCUGCUGGGCCCAUUUGCAAACAGAUAAGCAAACGGCUGGCUCCUGUGGGUUCUCUUAUUCCAGCCCUCCUGAGGUAGAUCAGCAGGACCUGUUUUCUGAGCACCUGUCAGGACCCCCGGUCCCCAGCCUGCUGAUGGCAGCAGGAUCUGGUUGAAACAAGGUGUAGUGAAGAAGCUGGCAGACACCAGAAACCAGCAGAUGGGAACGAAAGCAACCGCUAGUUGCCCUCACUGCUCACUAACAUAGACACUCCCCCUGGCACCAUGGUAGUUUACAAAUGCCAUGGCAGCACGCCAUGGCAACAACCUGAAAGUUACAGGGUUC
rnacentral:lncRNA from 1 species